rnacentral:lncRNA from 1 species
CAAUGAGUUUAUAUGAACUUCCAGUUUGGUAUAUAGAAAGUGGGCUCACCUGCAUUUUUCCUCACCUUUCUCUCAAAGCCCUUCAUGGACAUCCCUGUCUGCCAGCUUUGACCUCUGGUCGACAAUGUUUGUUCCUUCAGACCUUUGUCCUAUCUCUCUCGAUUCCUGAGCCAUGCAUGAUUCUAAUUCCCAAGGUCUGCCCACUUGGCACUGAUAAACUCUUGUUCUGUGCUUUCCCACAACUUCUGUUGCCACUAGAUUUCCUCUAGUCCCUUUGGUCUCUGGGUGCUCUGAAAUGUCUGGUUACAUUCCUCCAUUAUUCUGUCUUUGUAAGGCCACCUGUUGCAAGACCCAGCCCAAGCUCACUCACUGGUCAGGAUGACUGGAUCAGAGUUUGUUUCUAUGUUGCACCUUCUUUUCCCUGACUGAUUGUAUUUAAAACCAGAAAUAGUACUGGGAACUUGGAAUGGAUGAAAGAAUGAAUAGCAUAUAUGUAGGCAGACUUCUCAGGAAGUGGUGGGUUGGUUGGCUGAUUUGCUUGUUUGCAGCAGUAGACCCAGCUCCCUCCUCCAUCCCACCCACCCAACUUUCCCUUCCCAAUGUUAGCACUUAGCAACCUGACAUUGUUCUUGUUUUUGAGUAAAGUGUUAAGAGCAGAAGAAAAGCCAUGGUCCCCAGGACCAAAGCACUCAAUAGGAAGUGCUGGGGAAAUAUUUGUUAUUGUUACUACUGAUUACCACUUUUGUCAUGUCUGGAAUCAAACGGUGUCAUUAAGAGCAAAUUCAAUCAUAUUUAAAAUAUUAAAGAAAUAUUUAGAAAAAAAGAAGUCAACCAAUGUCCUAAGUGACGUUGCUCUUUUUCUCGGGGAAGACGAAGAAAGAAAUAACAGAAGAGCCUUAAAUCAAUUUUAGAAUUUUCAUGAACUUUCAAGUAUAGCCACCCUUGAAAAUGGUACCCUAUGCCAUUAUGCUGUAACCUUGGAUAAGUCACACAAUGUCUGUAAAGCUGUUUCUUCCACCGUGCCUGUGGCAUGUGAAAUUUCCCAGGCCAGUGAUCGAACCCACACCACAGCAGUCUGGUGACAAUGCUGCUGUGGUGACAGUACUGCAUCCUUAACCUGCUGUGCCCUCUAAAUGCUAUUUCUUCAACUGUAAAAUAUAAGUGAUAUACAGAAGUAUUAAAGAGAAUCAUUUUCCCCCUAAGUCCCAGAGAUGUGUGAUUUUAUACACAUAAGUAUGUUGAAUAUAUUGAAAUGUGUUGCAGUGGCAGUCAUGCCUUAUCCAGUAUUAUUCAAAGAUUCAUUUUUUAUGCAACAGUUAAGUUCACUUUUAAAAGAAUCACUCAUACCAAUAUUGUGAUUUUUAAAGUCCUUAAUAUUGAAUGAACACCGUUUUGAAAUUGAUAGAUAUCCAACUGAUAAUGUGCCCUUGGUGAAGUUUAAAAAUUUAGGAUGAAUUUUGAUAUUGACAAAGAAGUCAAACUACAAUCAAGUGUAAGUUACCUACACUAGAGGAAAAUAGUAUAUUAACUGAGUUUUACACAGGCCAAAGAUCGUAAAUACAUACCUGAACUUUGAAAAUGUACUCCAGCUGAAAGUGAAAACCCUAAGGAAUUUGUAAAGCUAAGAAAUAUUUUUAUAAAUUUGCAAAUUCAAAUGCUACUCAUCCUUAUAAGAAUCAGUUGAAUUUUUAUUCUUUUAGUUGAGAUAUUUGCCCUAACUAUAUUAUUUUUCAAACUUAAAAUAAAAUUCUAGAAAUGAACAUAAACAUGCCCUUUGUCAUUUGGCAAUUCUUGAAUGACAGGGGAGAAUUAUCACAGAAAAUUGUCUUAAUAUUUAAGUUCUGGUUCUGAUGAACGCCUUUCCUUGAAGUUUGGCGUAAUUCCGUAUUGCCUUACGUAAAAGAACACGAAACAACGAGUUCCACUGCAAUAUCCAGCUCUUCCACACAUAAUAUGUGUCUUUUGUGUAUCAAUUUACUUCUGUGGACCAAAAUUUUGCCCUAUUAAAAUAAAGGUGCUGUCUUAGAUCAGUGCAUCCUAAGGUGUGAUUCUGAAAUAGUAAGUGUUCUCCCAGCAAAUUCACGUUGGGUAGAUGAUAAAGGGGAUGAUAAAGGUAUCUAUUUCAGUCUUUAUUUUGAAAAACAUCGAUAAUAAAACCAUUCAGACUUUUCCCUUUCAAAUGGAAUUGUCUUAGAGCCUCGUGCUUGCACACUGGCAGUGUCUCCACAUUAAUGUUUUGCCAGUAAAAAACCUUUUUUAUUUCAAUAUCUGACUUUCCCAGAAUGUAAAUUUCCUUCAAUACAUUUUUCCACUGAUGCUCAUAUGGAAUUUUUGUAUUGACAUCCCUAGAACUCAAUACAACAUUAAAAAAAAGCUUUAUGGAAAAAGUCUUGAAAUACAAUCUAAUUAUAAUUAGCAGUAAAUAUAGAUUAUUUGAAACAUGUUGACAAAACAUCUAUAAAGUGAUUAUGCAUCUCAGAUGUCGCUGGCAUUAAGAGUGGUCAUGGUACUAAAUGCACAAAGAUGUGGGAUUUUUAUUUUGUUUUUUGCAAGCACAUUAAUUGUUUGAUGUUUUCAAAAUGAUGGUUUCCAUAUUCCUAAUGUAAUAGUUUGUUAUUAUAUGUAAGCUUUCCUUCCCUUCUAUUCCAGCUUUGAUUAGGAGUUUGGAGUUGACUAGGAGUACUUGAUAGUUUUUCUUUUUAAAAUAAUGGAAAUACCUCCUGGCCAGACUGAUUUAUUUGUAUUUUUCAGAGCACAUCUGAAUGGAUUAAUAAUGAGAUUCCUAUAUGCAAUUUUUUACUUGUAUCACCUUUUAUUCAAUAUAACAUACAAUAAAACAUUUACUAAAGACAGAAAUUAUAAGAGAAACAAAGAAAUAUUGAUGAAAGAGUGAUUAAUUAAUAGUAAGGCCUUCUCUAGUUCAUUGGAAAGCCUUAAUAUUUUGGGGGGUGGGUACCCCACCAGAUGGAUAAGUUCCCAGGCCAGGGAUUGAACUCACAAUUCAGCUGUGACUUGAAGUGACACAGCAGUGACAACGAUGGAUCCUUAACUCACUGUGCCACACGAUAAUGUCCCUUAAUAAUUAUUUUUAAUGAAAGGUCUGGAAUAAGCUUGCAGUAGGAUAAUUAGGGCUGUCAAUGGUAAAGGAUAAAAAGCCUGGGGGAGAGGAAAAAUUCAUAUUUAUUGAGUCCUAACUAUAAGCCAUCAGUGUGCUGGACAACUGUGUAGGCUGUCCUUGUACAUCUUUACCAGAAUGCUGCUAAUUAGUAUUAUCUUCAUCUUACAACUGGGAAAGCAGCUUUAGAAAGGCUAUAUUUUCCCCAACGUUAUCCAGAUAUCAUGAUAUCGAAUCCGUAUUCGAAUCCAGCCUCUCCAUCGCCAAAGUUCCUUCUUGGUCCAGCAUAAAAAAAUGCUAUUUUGGGAGUUCCCUUUUGGUGUGGCCAGAGAAAAAGAGAAAAGGAUGCCUCCCCUCUACAUCUGUGAGAUCUGGGAUUUGACUGGCUGUUGGAGGAGGAGAGGAAGCCAGUGGAAUCACUCCAUUUACAGAAUCAUAAACAAGCUAUCUUCGGUGAUACACCUCUCUCACAAACCUGUUACAAUAGGCCUCCAUUCUCUCAGGGCUUCUUUCUGCAAGUCGUCUUGCUCCUUGUCCUUAACUCAGUCUGCAAGAACGUGAGCUUGAAGCUCCCUCUGGUUCAGCUCAUGCAGAUACUAUCCACCUACUUUAUCCCACCAGUUCUGAUGAAAUCACUAGUCCAUUAAAGCAUUCUCUCUCACUCUUUGUGUUCAUGAGUAUACACAUUUUUUCUUCUUUUAUUUUCGUUUUAGUGGGAAAGGAAGCGGUAAAGUGGAAAUGUAAUAAUCAAUUCACCGUAUUUAGAUUGAAAUCCCUCAAUAUCUAAUUUUUUGAGAAAUCCUUAUACAUGGUUGCUUAAAAAAUUCCUUAUUUUUGGAUUAUUUAGAAACAAAAGACAAAUCUAAAAAAAGUUUCGUUUUUGCAAGAUUCGAAAUACAAGAACUCCAAAUGUCAGGUCAUGAAAGCUGUUUAUGUCUAUCUUGACAGUGCAGCAAAUAGUUAAAAUACAUUUACAAUAUAAAAAAAUCAAACAAAUUUAAUGUUACUAUUGAAAUGUGUAUUUAUAUUAAAUGAUUUUCUGUUAUAAUUAUUUUAAGGUAAGCUGGGUGGGAACCCUUUUCUAUAGACCAAAUUCAAAGAUUUCCUCAUAAAUUGUGAAUACUAUUAAGUUUGCAUUAAAACUAAUUUUAUAAAAAUCUUUAAUAGUAAAUUGGACUGAAACAUUUUAGAUCAAACAACCUCAACAUCUACUGUGAAAAACAAUUUUUAAUUAAAGAGUUUUAAAGCAUCUCAUAAUAAGUUUUACUAUGAACAGGAUUUGUGGCUCAAUAAAUUGUAUACAGUGCUGAAUGAGAUGCCCUGCAGCUCUUUCUCGUGUUGGUGAACUCUAAUAGUUCUCUUAUUUUUAGGUUACAUUUUAACAUUCUUGUAUUUCUUAAAGGAUAUUCUGACUGUGAGAUAUUUUAAAAUAAUUUGACUUAGCAACUAUUUCUAAACCUGUAGUAUAUGGAAGUUCCCAGGCUAGGGGUCGAAGCAGAGCUUCAGCUGCCAGCCUAAGCCACAGCCACAGCAACACCAGAUUCAAGAUGCAUUUACACCCUACACUGCAGCUCACAGCAACACCAGAUCCUUAACCUACUGAGCGGGGCCAGGGAUCGAACCCGCAUCCUCAUGGGUAUUUGUCAGGCCCAUUAAUGCUGAACCACAACAUUAACUCAUAUGUGUGUGUGUGUGUGUGUGUGUGUGUGUGUGUGUGUGUGUAGUGGGAAGCAUUACUUUUCAAGUAGGUGACAUUUAUCCAAUUCUUCAGAUUUUUGUGGAAGGGGAUUGGACCCACUGUUGCUUUAUCCUUUCUUUCAAUUUAAUGAAAUACCACAGAGAAGGCACAGUGUCUAGACAACUCCAGUACACUGGGGACAGUCAGUCCGUGAUAGAGCCUGAACACAGGGAGUGGACACCUUUUGGAUGUCUGCUCAGCUCACAAUAAUGUCCAGUAUCGCCCUUUCCCCAUUCCCAGGGCUUGGCCUCCACAGUCAUCUCUGUAAAACAAGACCCUGCUGCCCUGGGCAUGUGUAAUUAGACCAGGUCAAGACCCAGACCAAGUUACUGCAAUAUUCCCUCAAUGUGGUGAGAAAUGGGACAGGAGCUAUAGGCAGCCACCUUGGACCUACCUUAUGGAAACCACUUUAAUAAGAGAAAAACAAAGCAAAUAUUCUGAGAAAAGCUUCAAUACGGGAGAGUCCUCACUUCAUUGGCAGGUCUCAGUUGCCUGCAGGGGCUCAGAUUCAGGUUUUCUCAGACAUUGCUGCCAACAUUCCAAUCCAAAUCCUCAUCAGAAAAGAAUAUCUUAAACAACCAAGUCUGGUUCCCACAGAUUUCUAUCAUCAAGAGACUGUGUUGGAGAAAAUAUGUGAAUGACAAUGCAUAUUUCAUCUCAAUAUUGAAUAUUGAUAAAAUAACUAAUUUUAACAUGGGUUUACAACACGUCAAAAAUCAGUGACGCUUAAUUCACUAACCUCUUAAGCUCAAGGAAAUAGUUAUAUGACUUACAAGAUGGCUGUAAGGCAUGUGAUUAAUUUAAACUUGCAUUAUUAGAUUUUGUUUCCCCAUAAACAGGUGAAAUGCAUAUUUAAGCUUGAUUCUGAUGCCUGGUGUAAUACCUCUUGAUGAAAUCCUAAGUUGAUCUAUAGUUAAUCCAUCUUUAAAGAGAAUGUAUGCAUAAGGACAUUUGAAAUCCAAUAUAAUAACAUCAAAAUCUUAAAUUUGGGGGAGUUCCUGCCGUGGUGCAGUGGGUUAAGGAUCUGGUGGUAUCUCGGCAGUGGAUUGGGUCACUCCUGAGGUGUGGGUUCGAUCCCACUCUGGUGCAGUGGGUUAAGGAUCAGGCAUUUCCACAGCUGUGGCUUGGAUUCAAUCCCUGG